UGUUUUUCUAUUCUUAACAAUGUGAUCAUUUCAAUAAUAUUCCAUUAGAAACAACGCUGAUCUUUGAUUAAGAUGUAAUCAAAGAGCCGCUUAGUAUUUCCAUGGAAACGAAUCUAUUGAAUAUCAUUUUGCAGUCUUAUUAGUUGCUGAAUCAAGCGAUAAUCAAUUCCAGGAUUAUUUAAUAAAUGAAAAGUGUAAUCAAAGAGCCGCUUAGUAUUUCCAUGGAAACAAAACCAUUGAAGAUUCAUUAUCUAUUUACGUCGCAAAUGAAGGAAAGGAGUCUAUUUUAUAUACAGAUACGAAUUCCAAGUUUUCAACAUCUACAUCAACAAUAUCUUUCAUUAAAGAUUGAACUACAAUCAUCCGACUAAUGAAGAUGAUCCAUGGAUCAAAAGAUUAAUCAAAUUGGGUCCAAUUUCGUUGAUUCAGUCUUGUUUUUUUUUGUCUUUCCUUCAACUAAACACAUUUAAGAAAUUCAUUCGCUCUAAAUUAUAAUGCAGGUGAACCAUAGAUCUAAAGAUCAACCAAAUUGGGUCCAAUUAUAUUGCUUACUUACUUAUAAAGGGCUAUUGGCUAGUCUUUCCAUCCACUAAACAAAUUUAAGAUUCGACCAAAGAUGAUUUCUCUUUCACAAGCGGAUUUUGAAAAUGAAAUCCAAUCCAUUCAAAUCGUCGAAAUUCUCAUUAUAAUUAUAAUGAAAUCCCUUCAAAUUCCUAAAAUCUUCAUUCUAAAUUAUACUAAUAAUGGAUUUCUUAGCGGAUUGCAGUGGCAAUUGAUGUUUAUCACCAUAAAAUGAUUCUUUCAGACAAUGAUUCAAACUAAUUUGGGAACAUCCUUUGUAAUUCAUUAUUUCAAAGACAUAUCUGAUGUUCUUCAAUCAUUAGCGAAUUACUAAAUUUUCAUUCAAUGAUUUGGAUUCACUUUCAAGAUGCAUUACUAGAGCUUUAUCAACAAAAUGAGGUUCCUUGGUUUCUCUUCAUUAGCCAGUCAUGAACAUUUUACCAAAAAAUGUUCCUACUAUCUUACCAUCAAUUUCCAGAGUAUUUUACGUACAGAUC